rnacentral:rRNA from 1 species
AUGCAAGUCGAACGGAUUAUGAGGGCUUGCUCUCAUAGUUAGUGGCGAACGGGUGAGUAACGCGUGGGAAUCUGCCCUGGAGUGGGGAACAACCGUUGGAAACGACUGCUAAUACCGCAUACGCCCUGAGGGGGAAAGGCUUCGGCCGCUCUUGGAUGAUCCCGCGUCUGAUUAGCUUGUUGGUGGGGUAACGGCCUACCAAGGCGACGAUCAGUAGCUGGUCUGAGAGGAUGAUCCGGCCACACUGGGACUGAGACACGGCCCAGACUCC